rnacentral:rRNA from 1 species
UACGUAGGGUGCAAGCGUUAAUCGGAAUUACUGGGCGUAAAGCGUGCGCAGGCGGCUUUGCAAGACAGAUGUGAAAUCCCCGGGCUUAACCUGGGAACUGCAUUUGUGACUGCAUGGCUGGAGUGCGGCAGAGGGGAUGGAAUUCCGCGUGUAGCAGUGAAAUGCGUAGAUAUGCGGAGGAACACCGAUGGCGAAGGCAGCUCGCUGGGACGUUACUGACGCUGAGACGCGAAAGCGUGGGGGAGCAAACAGG